rnacentral:rRNA from 1 species
GGUUAAGCGACUAAGCGUACACGGUGGAUGCCCUGGCAGUCAGAGGCGAUGAAGGACGUGCUAAUCUGCGAUAAGCGUCGGUAAGGUGAUAUGAACCGUUAUAACCGGCGAUUUCCGAAUGGGGAAACCCAGUGUGUUUCGACACACUAUCAUUAACUGAAUCCAUAGGUUAAUGAGGCGAACCGGGGGAACUGAAACAUCUAAGUACCCCGAGGAAAAGAAAUCAACCGAGAUUCCCCCAGUAGCGGCGAGCGAACGGGGAGCAGCCCAGAGCCUGAAUCAGUGUGUGUGUUAGUGGAAGCGUCUGGAAAGGCGCGCGAUACAGGGUGACAGCCCCGUACACAAAAAUACACAUAUUGUGAGCUCGAUGAGUAGGGCGGGACACGUGGUAUCCUGUCUGAAUAUGGGGGGACCAUCCUCCAAGGCUAAAUACUCCUGACUGACCGAUAGUGAACCAGUACCGUGAGGGAAAGGCGAAAAGAACCCCGGCGAGGGGAGUGAAAAAGAACCUGAAACCGUGUACGUACAAGCAGUGGGAGCACGCUUAGGCGUGUGACUGCGUACCUUUUGUAUAAUGGGUCAGCGACUUAUAUUCUGUAGCAAGGUUAACCGAAUAGGGGAGCCGAAGGGAAACCGAGUCUUAACUGGGCGUUAAGUUGCAGGGUAUAGACCCGAAACCCGGUGAUCUAGCCAUGGGCAGGUUGAAGGUUGGGUAACACUAACUGGAGGACCGAACCGACUAAUGUUGAAAAAUUAGCGGAUGACUUGUGGCUGGGGGUGAAAGGCCAAUCAAACCGGGAGAUAGCUGGUUCUCCCCGAAAGCUAUUUAGGUAGCGCCUCGUGAAUUCAUCUCCGGGGGUAGAGCACUGUUUCGGCAAGGGGGUCAUCCCGACUUACCAACCCGAUGCAAACUGCGAAUACCGGAGAAUGUUAUCACGGGAGACACACGGCGGGUGCUAACGUCCGUCGUGAAGAGGGAAACAACCCAGACCGCCAGCUAAGGUCCCAAAGUCAUGGUUAAGUGGGAAACGAUGUGGGAAGGCCCAGACAGCCAGGAUGUUGGCUUAGAAGCAGCCAUCAUUUAAAGAAAGCGUAAUAGCUCACUGGUCGAGUCGGCCUGCGCGGAAGAUGUAACGGGGCUAAACCAUGCACCGAAGCUGCGGCAGCGACACUAUGUGUUGUUGGGUAGGGGAGCGUUCUGUAAGCCUGCGAAGGUGUACUGUGAGGUAUGCUGGAGGUAUCAGAAGUGCGAAUGCUGACAUAAGUAACGAUAAAGCGGGUGAAAAGCCCGCUCGCCGGAAGACCAAGGGUUCCUGUCCAACGUUAAUCGGGGCAGGGUGAGUCGACCCCUAAGGCGAGGCCGAAAGGCGUAGUCGAUGGGAAACAGGUUAAUAUUCCUGUACUUGGUGUUACUGCGAAGGGGGGACGGAGAAGGCUAUGUUGGCCGGGCGACGGUUGUCCCGGUUUAAGCGUGUAGGCUGGUUUUCCAGGCAAAUCCGGAAAAUCAAGGCUGAGGCGUGAUGACGAGGCACUACGGUGCUGAAGCAACAAAUGCCCUGCUUCCAGGAAAAGCCUCUAAGCAUCAGGUAACAUCAAAUCGUACCCCAAACCGACACAGGUGGUCAGGUAGAGAAUACCAAGGCGCUUGAGAGAACUCGGGUGAAGGAACUAGGCAAAAUGGUGCCGUAACUUCGGGAGAAGGCACGCUGAUAUGUAGGUGAAGCGACUUGCUCGUGGAGCUGAAAUCAGUCGAAGAUACCAGCUGGCUGCAACUGUUUAUUAAAAACACAGCACUGUGCAAACACGAAAGUGGACGUAUACGGUGUGACGCCUGCCCGGUGCCGGAAGGUUAAUUGAUGGGGUCAGCGCAAGCGAAGCUCUUGAUCGAAGCCCCGGUAAACGGCGGCCGUAACUAUAACGGUCCUAAGGUAGCGAAAUUCCUUGUCGGGUAAGUUCCGACCUGCACGAAUGGCGUAAUGAUGGCCAGGCUGUCUCCACCCGAGACUCAGUGAAAUUGAACUCGCUGUGAAGAUGCAGUGUACCCGCGGCAAGACGGAAAGACCCCGUGAACCUUUACUAUAGCUUGACACUGAACAUUGAGCCUUGAUGUGUAGGAUAGGUGGGAGGCUUUGAAGUGUGGACGCCAGUCUGCAUGGAGCCGACCUUGAAAUACCACCCUUUAAUGUUUGAUGUUCUAACGUUGACCCGUAAUCCGGGUUGCGGACAGUGUCUGGUGGGUAGUUUGACUGGGGCGGUCUCCUCCUAAAGAGUAACGGAGGAGCACGAAGGUUGGCUAAUCCUGGUCGGACAUCAGGAGGUUAGUGCAAUGGCAUAAGCCAGCUUGACUGCGAGCGUGACGGCGCGAGCAGGUGCGAAAGCAGGUCAUAGUGAUCCGGUGGUUCUGAAUGGAAGGGCCAUCGCUCAACGGAUAAAAGGUACUCCGGGGAUAACAGGCUGAUACCGCCCAAGAGUUCAUAUCGACGGCGGUGUUUGGCACCUCGAUGUCGGCUCAUCACAUCCUGGGGCUGAAGUAGGUCCCAAGGGUAUGGCUGUUCGCCAUUUAAAGUGGUACGCGAGCUGGGUUUAGAACGUCGUGAGACAGUUCGGUCCCUAUCUGCCGUGGGCGCUGGAGAACUGAGGGGGGCUGCUCCUAGUACGAGAGGACCGGAGUGGACGCAUCACUGGUGUUCGGGUUGUCAUGCCAAUGGCACUGCCCGGUAGCUAAAUGCGGAAGAGAUAAGUGCUGAAAGCAUCUAAGCACGAAACUUGCCCCGAGAUGAGUUCUCCCUGACCCUUUAAGGGUCCUGAAGGAACGUUGAAGACGACGACGUUGAUAGGCCGGGUGUGUAAGCGCAGCGAUGCGUUGAGCUAACCGGUACUAAUGAACCGUGAGGCUUAACCUU